GGCCCGGCGUCCAAGAUGGCGGCGCCCCGGGCGCUGCUCGCCGCUCGGCGGGCGGGUGUCGCGGGGGUGUCGCGGGGCGGGGGGGGGACCCGGGGGGGCCCCGGAGGGGUCGGGGGGGCCGGGGCGGAGCCUCCUGUUCGAGCACGUGCGGGAGGGCCUGAGCGCGCGCCCGCAGCUGGACGUGGCGGCGCUGAGCGAGCGCGAGCUGGAGCGGAGGCGGGGCCCCAUGAGGGGGAGCGACCUGCGCGAGAUCGUGCAGACCUGGGCCCGGCUGGGGGAGGUUCGAGCCGCCAUCGCGGAGCUGGAGGCCGAGAAGGGGCAGGUGGCCCAGGGCGUGCGGGGGCUCAUGGCCAAACACAACAAGGAGACGGCGGAGGCGCUCCCCGCGUACCGCGCUCUGCGUGCCCAGGGCCGGCAGGUUCGCUGCGCCUGCGGGAGCUGGAGGCCGAGGAGGCGGCGCUGGAGCAGCGGGUUCUAUCCCCGGGCGCUCCGGCUGCCCAACCGCAGCCACCCCGACACGGUGAGGGGACACAGGGGACACUGGGGACAUUGG